AUUGAACGCUGGCGGAAUGCUUUACACUUGCAAGUCGAACGGCAGCACGGACUUCGGUCUGGUGGCGAGUGGCGAACGGGUGAGUAAUGUAUCGGAACGUGCCCAGUCGUGGGGGAUAACGUAGUGAAAAUUACGCUAAUACCGCAUACGAUCUAUGAAUGAAAGCGGGGGAUCGCAAGACCUCGCGCGAUUGGAGCGGCCGAUAUCAGAUUAGGUAGUUGGUGGGGUAAAGGCCCACCAAGCCAACGAUCUGUAGCUGGUCUGAGAGGACGACCAGCCACACUGGAACUGAGACACGGUCCAGACUCCUACGGGAGGCAGCAGUGGGGAAUUUUGGACAAUGGGCGAAAGCCUGAUCCAGCCAUUCCGCGUGCAGGAUGAAGGCCCUCGGGUUGUAAUCUGCUUUUGUACAGAACGAAAAGGUUUCUACUAAUACUAGGAGCUCAUGACGGUACUGUAAGAAUAAGCACCGGCUAACUACGUGCCAGCAGCCGCCGUAA
rnacentral:rRNA from 1 species